rnacentral:rRNA from 1 species
GAUGAACGCUGGCGGCGUGCCUAAUACAUGCCAGUCGAGCGAACAGACGAGGAGCUUGCUCCUCUGACGUUAGCGGCGGACGGGUGAGCAACACGUGGAUAACCUACCUAUAAGACUGGGAUAACUUCGGGAAACCGGAGCUAAUACCGGAUAAUAUAUUGAACCGCAUGGUUCAAUAGUGAAAGACGGUUUUGCUGUCACUUAUAGAUGGAUCCGCGCCGCAUUAGCUAGUUGGUAAGGUAACGGCUUACCAAGGCAACGAUGCGUAGCCGACCUGAGAGGGUGAUCGGCCACACUGGAACUGAGACACGGUCCAGACUCCUACGGGAGGCAGCAGUAGGGAAUCUUCCGCAAUGGGCGAAAGCUUGACGGAGCAACGCCGCGUGAGUGAUGAAGGUCUUCGGAUCGUAAAACUCUGUUAUUAGGGAAGAACAAAUGUGUAAGUAACUAUGCACGUCUUGACGGUACCUAAUCAGAAAGCCACGGCUAACUACGUG